CCUAUGGGAGGCAGCAGUGCGGAAUAKUAUACAAUGGGCGGAAGCCUGAUCAGGCACGCCGCGUGAGGGAUGACGGCCUUCGGGUUGUAAACCUCUUUCACAGACGAAGCGGACGKGACGGUAUGWGCAAAACACGGACCGGUCCACGACGUGCCAGCAGCCGCGGUAAU
rnacentral:rRNA from 1 species